CAGCCGCCGCGGUAAGACAGAGGAUGCAAGCGUUAUCCGGAAUGAUUGGGCGUAAAGCGUCUGUAGGUGGCUUUUCAAGUCCGCCGUCAAAUCCCAGGGCUCAACCCUGGACAGGCGGUGGAAACUACCAAGCUGGAGUACGGUAGGGGCAGAGGGAAUUUCCAGUGGAGCGGUGAAAUGCGUUGAGAUCGAAAAGAACACCAACAGCGAAAGCACUCUGCUGGGACGACACUGACACUAAGAGACGAAAGCUAGGGGAGCAAAUGGGAUUAGAUACCCGCGUAGUCCCUGUCUCUUAUAC
rnacentral:rRNA from 1 species